CCUACGGGUGGCUGCUGUGGGGAAUAUUGCACAAUGGGGGAAACCCUGAUGCAGCGACGCCGCGUGAGUGAAGAAGUAUCUCGGUACGUAAAGCUCUAUCAGCAGGGAAGAAAAGGACGGAAACUGACUAAGAAGCCACGUCAAACGAAGGGGCAGCAGCCGCGGUAAUAAGUAGGGGGGAAGCGGUAUCCGGAUGUACUGGGUGGAAAGGGAGCGUAGACGGCAGCACAAGUCUGGAGUGAAAUCCCGGGGCUUAACCCCGGAACUGCUUUGGAAACUGUGCGGCUGGAGUGCAGGAGGGGUAAGCGGAAUUCCUAGUGUAGCGGUGAAAUGCGUAGAUAUUAGGAGGAAAACCGGUGGCGAAGGCGGCUUACUGGACUGUAACUGACGUUGAGGCUCGAAAGCGUGGGGAGCAAACAGGAUUAGAUACCCGAGUAGUC
rnacentral:rRNA from 1 species